CAUUGUCGAAACCUGCAAGAGGCAGACCGCGAACACGUGUUUUUAACGCCGAACCCCCGCCGGCGCGCGCGCGCAUCCGUGCGCCGCCGCCGCCGCGCGGGCUAACGAACCCCGGCGCGGAACGCGCCAAGGAAAACUCAAAGUAGCGCCGCCGCCCCCCGCCCCCGUCCGCGGGAACGGCUCGGGGCCGGCGUGCGUCUAUCGAAUGUCAUAACGACUCUCGGCAACGGAUAUCUCGGCUCUCGCAUCGAUGAAGAACGUAGCGAAAUGCGAUACUUGGUGUGAAUUGCAGAAUCCCGUGAACCAUCGAGUCUUUGAACGCAAGUUGCGCCCGAAGCCAUCAGGCCGAGGGCACGUCUGCCUGGGCGUCACGCAUCGCGUCGCCCCCCCACCAGCCCCUCGGGGCGGGGAGGGGGCGGAUACUGGCCUCCCGUGCGCCCCGCGCGCGGCCGGCCCAAAUGCGAUCCCCCGGCGACCCGCGUCGCGGCAAGUGGUGGUUGAACUCAUCAAUCUCGCGUGCUGCCGCGCCCCGGGCCGUCCGCACGGGCAUCGGGAACGACCCUGCGGCGAACGAAAGCCCACGACCGCGACCC
rnacentral:rRNA from 1 species